GUGGGGGGGCUGGAGCUGUGGUGGGGCUGCCUCCCACCUCCUGAUCCCACUGCCCCCCCCACGUGGUUUCCGUCCUGGGGGGUUGGGACACUUUGGGUUUAUUGGUUUUGGGAGAAAACCUAUUCCAGACUUCUCCAUUCUCGCUCAUCCCCUGCAGGAUCUGAGGCGGCAAGAGCAGCUUGGGAAUGGAGCCCCAGGCAGGAAGCAGCUCCCAAACUCCUCCGUGCAGCCAGUGGCCAUCUGAGUGUGGGGCCAGGCCACACCACAGCCCCACUGCGCAGGGAUGGGCAUUGGCCAGCCCUGCUCUGGCCAGCCCCAGGGGCAGCCAGGACCUGAGGGUCCCCCCUGCCCCCUGGGCUUUGACUCUCGCAGCUUUAGAGCUGCUGCAAGCUUCCUGUGCAGUGCUCCCAGGAUGGACAGAGUUGCUCCCUUUUGGCAGCAGAACCCAUGGGAAGUCAAUCAAGUCUCAGGGUGGCAAUGAGAAAAAUGGGAAGAGUUCCUAAAUAUGGCCCAAGAAAAGCCAUCCUUGUGGGCUGGGUUGCUGCCCAGCAGACAGGGAACAAUCCCAUGCACCUGUUGGACACUCAGGGAGAUUUCCCACUCCGUGUUACCCACAGGCAAACGCGGCUGUGGGAUGCACCAAUGGGCUCCAAAAGGGAACCAAAAAGUCUCAUUUCUUUGUGAUUUGUUUGGGUUUUUAUUGUGAGAGACCUGUUGGGAGACCAACGAUUAAAAGGAUUCUAUAAACCAGA